ACACGUCUGUUUCAAAUUGUAUAUGCUAUAUAAUAACGAGGCAUCGUUGUAAACAGACUAACUUGAAUUGCAUAUUGGUUGUUGGGAGACCUGUCUAGACUGGGUUCAAUCUAAUUGCUAACUUGGUAAGCAUUUCUUUAGUAUUAUAUGUUCUGAGUUCUCUACUAUGAUUGUGAAGAGUCUUAGUUAACUAUAUCAUCUUAUCUUGAGCAAACUUUGGUGAUCAAGAUUACUACAUACUCUCCCCUUUGAUUAGGUUGCAUGAAUUGUAUCCUCAAUCUGAUAAACGUAUUUGGUCAUAUAUGAGACUCUCGAAGAUGUCACUAGCAUCCAAGUAGCUGCUGGUAUUGAGCUUAAAUAAAUCUACAGCCAAGACUAGCAUUUCUGUAUCAUUUACUCUUUGUCAUACUAUUUGUAAAUGAAAUACUUGCAUUGUCAACUUCAGGCUUUCUUUAUUGGAAUAUUAUAAGUGGAAGGAAGCGGUGAAAGGAAAAUGAAGUGAAAUUAUGAAUUGCAGUUUAUGCCUCAUUAAUAGCUAUAUUCAUCUCUUUCUUAUCUGUCAUAGUUAUCUAUAUUUGGUUGGAGUAGACUUGAAGUCAAAAUGAGUAGAUACGUAGACCACUAUCUGUUUGCAGUUGUUUUCCCGCAAUGCAUAAACCACUCUUUAAUAGUUGUUUGUUAAUUGACAUUAUAUAUAACAGAGUAUAUAUUUUAUUUAUGGAUUAACAGUAAUUUUCAGCAUCUCUCCUUAUCAAAAAUUUCAUUCAUGUGUUUGUCAUUGCUUACUUUUGAUGCAGGUCAAGCGUCUUGGUCAUGAAUUAUGUUAAUCACUUGAUCUUGUAGGAAUUGUUUGAAAUCAGUAGUUAUGGAUUUAGACUAGCAAAAGAUAUGGCAUAUACAAUGCAGGUAUUAUAAGUCUUCCCCUGAUUCCAUGUUAUACGAGAUGAUUGUUUCUUGUUUUUAUAAUCCCUCCCGUUUAUGUUCCCUCUAUGUAUAAUCAAAUUGCUUACAAGAAAAUGGAGAUAGGAUUAUUCAUGAAUAAACCAGAUAUUGUCUUAUGUUGCCUCUUCUACGUAAUAGAUAAUAAUGCAAACUUUAGGUACAUAAAUGAGUAUAUAUGUGCCCAUUUUUCAUUCUUGUAUGUUGCUGCAUUCUCCUUAACAGUAAAUUAAUUUGCUUUGUGUUUUUCAUUUGCAGAAUGGUGUUGGGUUGUCAAACUGAGGGGUGCAUAUCAUUUCUCAAAUUGAAGAAAUCUCUUCUCCAGUGUUGAUUUGCAAUGGGGGAAGGGCCCAUGUUUUGGGUACUCAAGUCUGCAGUCCAAUGCAAUGCUUAUAACUUCGUUGACAUUCCUCAUCCUACUUUUAGCCGUGUGGACAGCAGGAAACCUGCAGUUGGGGCUGAGACUUAGACGAGUCUGGAGGCACAGUGAUCAUGGCAAUUAUGAUUCAAUUGGUAACAGAGAAGUUCUCAGUUAAUAUGAAGCUGUCUGAUGAGGUUAUUAGUGAGCAGUAAGGUUAUAACAUUUUGUGUGUAGAU